CUUAGGCUACUGGGGGAGGGCUCUCAGUUCCUUAUCUGCGCCUAGGGGGAAGUUCCCAGACCCAGGCCAGAGAAUGCUGUGUGCACACGCAGGUAGCCUUUCCCCUCCCCUGCCUCUCACUGUCAAUCCAUCAAGAAGCAAGAUUACAGAAGCCAGGGGUGUGGUUAUGGUGAUGCAGCCAAAAGGGGGGGGGGGGGGGGACCUGCUCUCGAUUUG
rnacentral:sRNA from 1 species